GUGCCUGUUUCAAGCAGCACAUAUACUAAAAGUUGGAAUAAUACAGAGAAGAUUAACAUGACCCCUAUGUAAGGAUGACAUGCAAAUUUGAAGCAUUCCAUAGUUUU
rnacentral:snRNA from 1 species